rnacentral:misc_RNA from 1 species
UUGUGGAGGAGGACGCCGAAGGUGGGGCUAAUGACUGGGGUGAAGUCGUAACAAGGUAGCCGUACCGGAAGGUGCGGCUGGAUCACCUCCUAACAGGGAGACAACAAAAUGUUAAAUAUUAAUUUUGUCACCUUAGGUCGAUCGGUAUCUCACAUUCUUAACUUAUUAAGAAUUUUAUUUCCUAAGUUUUUUCUAGGUCACACCCAUUACUUUUCCUGGGCCAUUAGCUCAGAUGGUUAGAGCGCACCCCUGAUAAGGGUGAGGUCCCUGGUUCAAGUCCAGGAUGGCCCAUAUCUCUAUGUUGGGGGUAUAGCUCAGUUGGUAGAGCGCCUGCUUUGCAAGCAGGAUGUCAGCGGUUCGAGUCCGCUUACCUCCACUGAUUACCACCUCUACCAUGAUUUCUAGUUAGGAAAUGUUUUGAGUUGUGAUCUAAUUCUGAACGAAUCUAGCUUCCUAAUCAAACUUAUUAAGAUGCUGGACUCAUUGAAUUGAUUUCAUUGUUUUCAGAGAACCUUGACAACUGCAUAGAUUAUUUUUAAAGACGAUAAGCAUCUUUAAUGAUGCAGAUUUAUUAUUUGUGCGAAUGCAUUAAUAACAAUUCUAUUAAGCUGAUGCUUCAAUUUUGAAGUUAUUGGUCAAGCUACAA